AUUGAACGCUGGCGGCAUGCCUUACACAUGCAAGUCGAACGGCAGCACGGGAGCAAUCCUGGUGGCGAGUGGCGAACGGGUGAGUAAUAUAUCGGAACGUGCCCAGUCGUGGGGGAUAACGUAGCGAAAGCUACGCUAAUACCGCAUACGAUCUAUGGAUGAAAGCGGGGGAUCGCAAGACCUCGCGCGAUUGGAGCGGCCGAGAUCAGAUUAGGUAGUUGGUGGGGUAAAGGCUCACCAAGGCGACGAUCUGUAGCUGGUCUGAGAGGACGACCAGCCACACUGGGACUGAGACACGGCCCAGACUCCUACGGGAGGCAGCAGUGGGGAAUUUUGGACAAUGGGCGCAAGCCUGAUCCAGCAAUGCCGCGUGCAGGAUGAAGGCCUUCGGGUUGUAAACUGCUUUUGUACGGAGCGAAAAGGCUUCCACUAAUACUGGGGGCUCAUGACGGUACCGUAAGAAUAAGCACCGGCUAACUACGUGCCAGCCGCCGCGGUAACAC
rnacentral:rRNA from 1 species